UGUGUCUCAACAAAGUAUUAGUAAUAUUACACAUAUUUUUCGUACAGAAAGUUGUGACGCAAUCGCUGCAAAAUUGGCCAAAUUUUGUUUUGAGAAGACCUGCAUAUCCUUUAUACCAUAGUUAUUUACUACCAAUGCUUAGAAAUGGCAUACAACAGGCAAUAGGAGAUAAUAUGCUGUCAAAUAGAACACCAUUCUCCCCAAUACCAUUCAAUAGCUCGCCAUUCUCCAACGCAAUACAGCUAGGGCGAGGUUGGUCGAGCUUCUCAAGAAAUGAUAUACCAGUUAUAAGUCGUAUGCCUUACGAAUAUAAACCUGUUACCUCUGGGCUUUACAAUGUAAAUCAGGGCAUAGCUAGGCCAGGCCCUUUGAGUCCUCUGCAAACUUUGACGUUAAAUAAUCUUUUAGCUAAUGUACCGUAUAGUGGCAUAUGUUUUAUUGACGAACAGACUCAUCAAGCGAGCUUUUCUUUGCCAUCAAUAUAUACAGUGAUAAAAAAUCCAAUCGUACAGCCAAACAGUUUAGGAAAUUAUCCGAUAAACAACGGAAGAUUUGGUUUGAAUAGUUUUGCUAGGCAAAAUUCUUUAAUACCAUACUUGUAAUUUAUAAUAUUAAGUUAUUUUAUUUACAAAUGUUAUGUUCGUUAAGUUUUAUUUGAUUGAAUUAAAUUAAUAUCCUUUCAUUUUAUUAAAUAAAUAUUAAAUUGGA